UUGUUACGUCAAGGUCGUGACUAUUAGAGAAUGUAAACUUCCAUACUUGUAGAUUUUUUAGAAACUCUAUUUUUUUUCUCUUCCGGACAAUACAUGAGACACCAGAAAGAAAAGAAAACAACAGAAAUCAAGAAUUAAAUCCAAAACAUGUUUUCUCUGGAGAAGAUCGGACAAGCAGUAAGACAACGAGAUUGAUAUCUUCCCCGUCAAAAGAAAAUCAGAAAUUCUAGUGAAGAUACAGGGGCCGACUGGUUGCACCGCCGCCACCCGCAAACGGAGCGAUUGCGAUUUCUGGCGGUUGCGGGCGAUUGAAAAACUGACUGGUUGAACCGCAAC